CAAGUGGUUACAUCAAACUCAGUUUAUGUCUCUACCGUGUUAUGGAUAUCUGCAUGUUAUGUCUCUACUGUGUUAUGGAUAUCUGCAUGUUAUGCUAUCCUGACCAGUUAUUUCAUUUAGGUUCAAGGACUUCCUGUGGUUGCAUCAAAAGCCUCUAAAUUUAUUUCAUUUAGGUUCAAGGACUUCCUGUUGUUGCAUCAAAAGCCUCUAAAUUGACUGAUUUGGAUGCACCUAUUUCAACUAGUCAAACCAAGUAUCUUGAGCUGCUAGCCAGGUAUUAUGUUCUCAAGGGGGAGCAUAUUGCUGCUGCUAGAAUGUUGUUGAUAUUGGCAGAAAGACAGUGCUCCAGUGCGGAAGAAGCUUCAACUCUUGACCAGAGGUAUCAAUAUCUGAGCAGUGCUGCGGUUCAGGGCAAAAGUGAAGGGAUUACUGCAGAUUCCUCGAGGAACCCUAUUGAUAGCAGCGCAGUAGAUCGACUUGAAGGCAAACUUGCAGUUCUUCAGUUCCAAAUGCAAAUCAAGUAAGAAUAGUUCAUGGCUUCACGGCUUGAAAAUCUGCCAGGCAGUACUGAAUCACCAAAUGAUGCCUUCCUCAUGAUAACAUUCUAGCUGAUGUGGAGACUGCUAGAUGUCCCAUGGACAAGGCUAAAGAGCUUUCACUGAAUCUCAAGAGUAUUACUCAACUUUUCAACAAUUAUGCUGUUCCUUUUAAUCUUUGGGAGGUAUGGCUAUCUUUGUUUCUUGGAGAUUUUUUCCUUGAUCCUGCUUUCUUCUCUCUUGUAAGAGGGUUACUAGGCAAUAAGCAUUUUUUUUACUAUUGAUAGCAGCACAGCAGAUCCACUUGUUUUUACCAGGAAUAACCAACAUAUCUAUGGGGAUCGUGACAGUUAGUAGAACUGUGAAAUUCACUUGAUAAGUUCUAAACUGUCAUAAAGAUUGCACUUCUUUUACUGUUAAAGUCAUAUGAACUGAUACCACAAAUCAGUAGGAUAGACUAUGACGUGUUGUGGACUUGCGGUGGUAGUGUGAUCAUACAAUGAAAACCGGUGAUCUGAGCAUAUCCUCAGCAUUCCAUUGCGUCUUUAUACAUUUAAUAAAUAUACUUGACUGGUUACUAUAUACAGAAUUACCAAUAAGGUUUCGGAAGCUUUCCACAUAACUACAUUAAAUGGGUAAUACAACUUUCUCAGUGUAAAUUGUAUCUCAAAAGAGUUUACUUAGUUGUGUGAAAAUAAGCAAGCACUUUAUCAAUAUUUUUUACAUGUUACGAUAGGUAUAUCUAAAUCCUCUGAAUUUGCAUCCACAAAAAACUCUUUUCGAAUUUCUCAUGUUGCUGAGUUUACAGUUUGUGAUAUAGUAAUAUAGCUCUAUAACUGGGUGUGGGAUCACAGUAAAUUCUCACAAGUUGCUGCUCUAAAGUUAUAUAUUAUGGUCUGCAUUUUUCUUGUGCAGCUGUAUGUAGUGCUUUACUUGCACUUAUUCACUUGGUAAGGUAAAUCUGUUUUAGAUAGUCACUGUAAUUUUUCAUGAUGACUUGAACCUUCUUGUUAACUUUGCAAAUUAUUCUGGAGAUGCUGACAGUAAAAUUAUUUGAGAAAUUUGGGCCAGGCUCCUUGGCCAGUACAAGAGGUGGUGUUGCAGAAGCAUGUUCUGUGGUGAGAAGAGUAGGUUCAAAACUUGAUCCUGCAGAUGGCUCUUGUUUACCAUUGGAUAUAAUAUGCCUUCAUCUCGAGAAGGCUGCACUGGAUAGAUUAAGCUCGGAGAAGGAUUAGUUGGUGACGAGGAUGUUGCAAGAGCCCUUCUUGGAGCCUGUAAAGGUCUACCUGAACCUGUGCUUGCCGUGUAUGAUCAACUGUUAUCAAAUGGCGCUAUUGUGCCCUCCCUAAACCUGAAGGUGUGGCUUCUGAGAUCAGUCCUUUUAAUCCUUCGUGAAUGGGCAUGACUGUCAUUGCACAUAAACUAGGCACCACAACUGCUGGGGCUUCAUUCUUUCUUGAUGGAACAUUUUCACCGAAUCAAACAUGGUCUUUAAAUCAAGGCAUCCGGGAUAAAAUAAUUAGUUUGGCAAACUGGUUGGCUGAGAUGAGGCGGUUCAACCUUCCACAGAACCAAAAAAAGAAUGACUAUCGAGGUUUCCGAGAGUUAGAAGAGAAAUUAUUAUCUAAUAAGUAGCCAUUUCAAUUUGUAUUCUCGGCACUGUAAAACAUGGGAUUGUGCAUUUGCUCUACCAAGUAGAGAGAAAGCCAGCCAUCCUGGUUCAAUUGGACAUGAUCUCUGAUAUGCUCUUCCUGUGGUUGACGUCAUUGCGAGAUCCCAAGGGUACCAAGAGACUGCAUAUCAAUCAAAUAUUAUCCAUCUGUGCAACCUCCUUAUUUUAGCCAAACAAUCAGUAUGAAUUACGGAAUUACGGCUGUUAAUGUGGUAAAGUUAUUUUGGGCUGAUUGCUAGUAAGUCCUGCGGGCGAUGCCAUUCGUCUGGCAUUACUUGCGGUGGAUCAGGAUUCAGGAGAGGAGUGCAAAGUGAACUAGAGCUCUUAAAAGCGACACAAAGAUCUCUUGUUGCAUUCAUGUUCUACAACUUCAAUUUGUACCGUGUUGUAAAUUUCCGUACCAAACGAUUCUUUAAGGAUGAACGUUUAGGUUUUGUAGCUUUCCAUAUAUUUUUUUGAGA